AGAGUUUGAUCCUGGCUCAGGACGAACGCUGGCGGCGCGCUUAACACAUGCAAGUCGAGCGAGAACCAAGACCUUCGGGUCUUGGGGACAGCGGCGAACGGGUGAGUAACACGUGAGUAAUCCACCCUUGGUACCGGGAUAGCUCGGGGAAACCCGAAUUAAUACCGGAUAGCCCAUUGGCCUCUUGGGGCGAAUGGAAAAGGUAGCUUCGGCCUCCGACCAAGGACGAGCUCGCGGCGGAUUAGCUUGUUGGUGGGGUAAUGGCCCACCAAGGCGACGAUCCGUAGCUGGUCUGAGAGGACGAUCAGCCACACUGGGACUGAGACACGGCCCAGACUCCUACGGGAGGCAGCAGUGGGGAAUCUUGCGCAAUGGGCGAAAGCCUGACGCAGCGACGCCGCGUGAGGGAAGAAGGCCUUCGGGUUGUAAACCUCUUUCAGAAGGGACGAAGCCACUCGGGUUAAUAGCCCAGAGGGUGACGGUACCUUCAGAAGAAGCCCCGGCUAACUACGUGCCAGCAGCCGCGGUAAUACGUAGGGGGCAAGCGUUGUCCGGAUUUAUUGGGCGUAAAGAGCGUGUAGGCGGUUUUACAGGUCCGCUGUGAAAACUCGAGGCUCAACCUCGAGCUGUCGGUGGAAACCGUAAGGCUAGAGUCCGGAAGAGGAGAGUGGAAUUCCUGGUGUAGCGGUGAAAUGCGCAGAUAUCAGGAAGAACACCCGUGGCGAAGGCGGCUCUCUGGGACGGUACUGACGCUGAGACGCGAAAGCGUGGGGAGCGAACAGGAUUAGAUACCCCGGUAGUCC
rnacentral:rRNA from 1 species